rnacentral:pre_miRNA from 1 species
UUUGGCACUAGCACAUUUUUGUGUUUAUUUUUACAACAAAAAUUGUACUAGUGUCAAGCA